GAUGAACGCUGGCGGCGUGCCUAAUACAUGCAAGUCGAGCGAACAGACGAGGAGCUUGCUCCUCUGACGUUAGCGGCGGACGGGUGAGUAACACGUGGAUAACCUACCUAUAAGACUGGGAUAACUUCGGGAAACCGGAGCUAAUACCGGAUAAUAUAUUGAACCGCAUGGUUCAAUAGUGAAAGACGGUUUUGCUGUCACUUAUAGAUGGAUCCGCGCCGCAUUAGCUAGUUGGUAAGGUAACGGCUUACCAAGGCAACGAUGCGUAGCCGACCUGAGAGGGUGAUCGGCCACACUGGAACUGAGACACGGUCCAGACUCCUACGGGAGGCAGCAGUAGGGAAUCUUCCGCAAAGGGCGAAAGCCUGACGGAGCAACGCCGCGUGAGUGAUGAAGGUCUCCGGAUCGUAAAACUCUGUUAUUAGGGAAGAACAAAUGUGUAAGUAACUAUGCACGUCUUGACGGUACCUAAUCAGAAAGCCACGGCUAACUACGUG
rnacentral:rRNA from 1 species